rfam:Paenibacillus sp. FSL H8-0548 NODE_5_length_251317_cov_1.55176_ID_11272, whole genome shotgun sequence.
UAACCUUGCUCAUGAGGGCAAGCUGAACGUACAGAAGUCAGCAGACGCCAUAGUACGCAGAUGGUUGCAACCGUCUGCGGAAGGGC